rnacentral:misc_RNA from 1 species
AAGGAUCAUUACAGUAAACUACUGUAGACCUGAUGUCUUGGACUAAAACCUUGGAGAUGGAAGUUUGUCCUAGAAAUAGGCUGACUGCUCCUCCUUGUGGCCCAUAACCUGGGAAUCCUGCAUCGCCCCACCCUUGUAAAUUUGAAUUAAACGUAACCUCGGUAGGUUUGCCUGCCGGUGGAAGCAUUAAACUCUUUUUUAAAUAAGCUGUAAUAAGAAUUUAUAGUCUGAAAAUAAUGUUAAUUAUUUUAAAACUUUCAACAACGGAUCUCUUGGUUCUG